CCUACGGGUGGCAGCAGUGAGGAAUAUUGGUCAAUGGGCGCAAGCCUGAACCAGCCAAGUCGCGUGAGGGAUGACGGUCCUAUGGAUUGUAAACCUCUUUUGUCGGGGAGCUAAGCCCGCUACGUGUGGCGGGAAGGAGAGCACCCGAAGAAACAGCAUCGGCUAACUUCGUUCCAUCAGCCGCGGUAAUACGGGGGACGCGAGCGUUAUCCGGAUUUAUUGGGUUUAAAGGGUGCGUAGGCGGAAGGUUAAGUCAGCGGUAAAAUGUCGGUGCUCAACACCGGCCUGCCGUUGAAACUGGUCGUCUUGAGUGAACGAGAGGUAUGCGGAAUGCGUGGUGUAGCGGUGAAAUGCAUAGAGAUCACGCAGAACUCCGGUUGCGAAGGCGGCAUACCGGCGCGCAACUGACGCUGAGGCACGAAAGCGUGGGGAUCGAACAGGAUUAGAUACCCCGGUAGUC
rnacentral:rRNA from 1 species